rnacentral:rRNA from 1 species
UUAGUGGCGGACGGGUGAGUAACGCGUGGAUAACUGCGUAUACGAGGGAGUAACACUUAGAAAUAGGUGCUAAUACCGCAUAAGCGCACGGUUCCGCAUGGAACAGUGUGAAAAACUCCGGUGGUAUACGAUGGAUCCGCGUCUGAUUAGCCAGUUGGCGGGGUAACGGCCCACCAAAGCGACGAUCAGUAGCCGGCCUGAGAGGGUGAACGGCCACAUUGGGACUGAGACACGGCCCAAACUCCUACGGGAGGCAGCAG